rnacentral:rRNA from 1 species
UGCCGCGUGAGUGAUGAAGGCCUUCGGGUUGUAAAGCUCUUUUGUUGGGGACGAUGAUGACGGUACCCAACGAAUAAGCCCCGGCUAACUUCGUGC